AGAUUCUGAUCAAUAGAACUCCUCGACCGCUCUUCUCAUAACUGCACCAAAUCGAACAAUUCAAUAAUUUAUACACCAUGAAGACCGCUAUCCUUGCCUCCCUCAUCGCCGCCGCUGCCGCCUUUGCCCCUGCCCAGCAAAAGGCCUCCAGCACUUCCUUGAAGGCCUUCGAGGAUGCCCUCGG
rnacentral:ribozyme from 1 species